ACAGAGAAGAGAAAGUGGGCUGGAGGAGGAAGAGGAAGAAAGUGGGGGCACCCCUCCUGAGACUGUGGUGGGAACCAGCACAAGCCGGAGCUGCUGCCUGCAGAUUCACAAGGGGCAAGUUUGAAUACGAAUCUGCUGUGUUCCUAUCUGCCAAGUUCCUAUAUGUUUCUGGGGUAAACACUGAGACACGCCAAGAAACAAACACACACAUGCACAACUUCCCUGACCACAAGACUACACACACACACACACACACACACACACACACGUGCAGGCAGGCUCACAAACAGAGCCCAUUGCAAUCACAACACCACACACACACACACACACACACACACACACACACACACACAGUCUUGCUCAACUUCUGAGUCAUCAACAUAACUAGUGGAGGGUUCUGCAGUUUUUGCUGGGGGAGGAGCUGGAGGAGACCAAGGGAUCCAGAGAGGCCUUUACUCCCGGACACCUGAGAGCCCCGGUGUGUGGAAGAGGUGGUGUCUGAGGGGCGGUGGGAGGAAGUUUCUACUCCCCUCCUCCCUCCCAUAGCAGGGGCUGGGCUGAGGGGCCAAAGCUAGGCCUAUGCUGCCCCCUGGUGCCUGAAUUGAUUUCCAGAACCAGCUCCUCCUCCUCCAUCCCUUGCUACCCCGCAGGUCUGUACAUGAGUGCACGUGUGUGGACCCAGCCAGGCAGCAGAGGGUUUGAACACAGCAAAAUAUAGCAGUUAAAAGACUGGACUGUGGAUACAGGCUGCUUGGGUUCAAAUCCUGCUAAUGCUGCUAACCACACAACCCUGAGCAAUUUACUCUGUGAUUCAUUCUCGUCAUCUGUAAAAUGGAGCAAAUAAGUCUUAACCCAUAAUGUGAGAAUAAAAUGCAGUAAAACAUCUGAAGGCUUAGAACAAUGCCUGACACACAGUAACUGUCAGGCACUAUUUUUAUGGUUCAUAAUAAACCAGGUAUGAGGAAAGGAGAAGGGUCUCCAUCCUACAUAGAAGUCCCCAGAUUUGGGGGUCAUGUUACUGCCAAAAGGAUAUUGAGGGUGUAUGUGCGUAUGUGUUUGCU
rnacentral:lncRNA from 1 species